AAACAUCCGAGGAUUUUGGUUUCUCGGACUUUGUAUCGAUUGGUUGAAGAAGAAAGAAAUACUUUUUCACUGCGAACGUGGUCGCGACGUCCUUGGCUCUUGACUGUGUCCAAAGAUCUCGUGAGCUCUCUAAAUGUCUGUCUCGUCGGCGGGUCGAUUCGUCACUGUCAGCUACUCUAAAAUCCCACGGGAUGUCGUCGAGAGAGUCUUCAAAAGGACCGCCACCUUUUUGUAGCGACCGCCUAUUCGUGGAAACGCUCUUCUUCUCGGAAAAUACAAGACGAUAAAUCCACCGGUGGUCCAGCGGCUUGCGGCUAAUUAAACCGGAUCAAAGCCACUUAAAGUGCUCGUUAAAGUGCUUGUCCUCGUUUUCUCCCUGUUUCCAAUAGCACGACGGGUAUUCUCCGCAUCAUUAAAGUACGGCUCCUGCAAUCACGUUGAUGUAAAUUUUUCUACAAGAAGAGAGAAGAGCAAAAAUAUUUCGAUCGCACAAAUUGCAAAUUUUAUAUUUCUAAUAUUUAUUGAACGAUGAUUACCAUAUUGAUUUCUGAUGCGUCUCUUGGAGGAACACGAAUCCAAAAACUCGUCGGCAAUGCGUCAAAAAGUGCGUUUUUUUCUCAAGCACGGAAGAACGCAGAAUCAGGAAACCAUGGAGGUUUCAAAGUCCAUCGUAAGAAAUUUCCUUGCCCCAUAAAACGUUGCGUCGCGAUGCUAUUGGUCGCGGACCUAUACAAACCCUAUCGUAAAAUUGCGUUUGCCUCGUGGCAAGGAUGUCAACGGUAGCAGGAAAUCAUGAUCCGAUCGCCCCACAUUUCCGACCGAAACCGGUCAACCUGUCUGCCUCGGGAAAAAUCUUUGUUCACCUUGAUCGGAAUUUUCUCUCCUUUUUUUGAACCUCUCUUUGACAAUAAACUCACUAGAGUGCUCGGAUUUUACAUCGGGAAACUGAAAAUCAAAAAUUUAUAUCCUGCAAAAUGUAUAUUAAUGAACUGAUGAUUCAAUUAAAUCUGAAUUGUGCUGUCAUGUUCCUUUGUUUGCAAUUUCGCCGUCAAUUCGCAUAGUUGAGAUUUCCCGUAGGGCGCGCAACCAGGCAGCAUCGGUCGGCCGAUGGCCUCGUAAAUUAUCCAGGUUUGUCGCCGCGGACAGAAACGAAUAGACACCGAGGAUAUUAGGAUAUUAUGACAGUGAGACACAGCAGUGGCCCGUAACCGCGGUCGACUUUCUGAUCUCCUGGAGACCAGGGACGUCUCUCGGCGCUGAUACCACAUGACGGAGCGCGUAUCGCGCGGCGUGCGUGCGUUAGACGACACGCACAACGGCGCAUGGCGCCGAGACAAAUACACACAUUCCAAAGAUGCAGAUUACUUUUUUUCUUCUGUCGCAUUCUUUCUUUUCCUCUCCUUCUCUUCUCUUCGCCCUUUUCUUUCUCUC
rnacentral:lncRNA from 1 species